AUACGGAGGGUGCGAGCGUUAAUCGGAAUUACUGGGCGUAAAGGGUGCGUAGGCGGCUUGAUAAGUCGGAUGUGAAAGCCCCGGGCUUAACCUGGGAAUUGCAUCCGAUACUGUCAGGCUAGAGUAUGUCAGAGGUUGGCGGAAUUCCUGGUGUAGCGGUGAAAUGCGUAGAUAUCAGGAGGAACACCAGUGGCGAAGGCGGCUAACUGGAGCAAUACUGACGCUGAGGCACGAAAGCGUGGGGAGCAAACAGGAUUAGAAACCCCAGUAGUCC
rnacentral:rRNA from 1 species